rnacentral:rRNA from 1 species
AUUGAACGCUGGCGGCAUGCCUUACACAUGCAAGUCGAACGGCAGCACGGGUGCUUGCACCUGGUGGCGAGUGGCGAACGGGUGAGUAAUACAUCGGAACAUGUCCUGUAGUGGGGGAUAGCCCGGCGAAAGCCGGAUUAAUACCGCAUACGAUCCACGGAAGAAAGCGGGGGACCUUCGGGCCUCGCGCUAUAGGGUUGGCCGAUGGCUGAUUAGCUAGUUGGUGGGGUAAAGGCCUACCAAGGCGACGAUCAGUAGCUGGUCUGAGAGGACGACCAGCCACACUGGGACUGAGACACGGCCCAGACUCCUACGGGAGGCAGCAGUGGGGAAUUUUGGACAAUGGGCGAAAGCCUGAUCCAGCAAUGCCGCGUGUGUGAAGAAGGACUUCGGGUUGUAAAGCACUUUUGUCCGGAAAGAAAUCCUUGACUCUAAUACAGUCGGGGGAUGACGGUACCGGAAGAAUAAGCACCGGCUAACUACGUG